UCCCUCUCGGGAUAGCAUCUGCAGAGUUUCCAGUCCUCUACCAGUCUCGGCUAUGAGAGGGAGAGUCAAGCAGAGGCCUAUCCAUUCCAUUCCUAGCUUGGCCAGUGGCAAGUAAAUGGAAGGCAGUCUGCUACAAGU